rnacentral:rRNA from 1 species
UACGGGGGGGGCAAGCGUUGUUCGGAAUUAUUGGGCGUAAAGGGCGCGUAGGCGGCUUUUCAAGUGGCGGGUGAAAUCCCUCGGCUUAACCGAGGAACUGCCUCCCAAACUGCUUGGCUUGAGACCGGGAGAGGUGAGUGGAAUUCCCAGUGUAGCGGUGAAAUGCGUAGAUAUUGGGAGGAACACCAGUGGCGAAGGCGGCUCACUGGACCGGUACUGACGCUGAUGCGCGAAAGCGUGGGGAGCAAACGGG